ACGCGAAGAACCUUACCUACUCUUGACAUCCAGAGAACUUUCCAGAGAUGGAUUGGUGCCUUCGGGAACUCUGAGACAGGUGCUGCAUGGCUGUCGUCAGCUCGUGUUGUGAAAUGUUGGGUUAAGUCCCGCAACGAGCGCAACCCUUAUCCUUGUUUGCCAGCGAGUAAUGUCGGGAACUCCAGGGAGACUGCCGGUGAUAAACCGGAGGAAGGUGGGGACGACGUCAAGUCAUCAUGGCCCUUACGAGUAGGGCUACACACGUGCUACAAUGGCGCAUACAGAGGGCGGCCAACUUGCGAAAGUGAGCGAAUCCCAAAAAGUGCGUCGUAGUCCGGAUUGGAGUCUGCAACUCGACUCCAUGAAGUCGGAAUCGCUAGUAAU
rnacentral:rRNA from 1 species